GUAGGGAAUAUUGGGCAAUGGAGGCAACUCUGACCCAGCCAUGCCGCGUGCAGGAUGACGGCCCUCUGGGUUGUAAACUGCUUUUAUACGGGAAGAAAAAAUACUACGUGUAGUAUACUGACGGUACCGUAAGAAUAAGGAUCGGCUAACUCCGUGCCAGCAGCCGCGGUAAUACGGAGGAUCCAAGCGUUGUCCGGAUUUAUUGGGUUUAAAGGGUGCGUAGGCGGAUCUUUAAGUCAGUGGUGAAAGCCUGCAGCUUAACUGUAGAAUUGCCAUUGAAACUGAAGGUAUUGAAUGUGGUUAAAGUAGGCGGAAUGUAUCAUGUAGCGGUGAAAUGCUUAGAUAUGAUACAGAACACCGAUAGCGAAGGCAGCUUGCUGAACCAUUAUUGACGCUGAGGCACGAAAGCGUGGGGAGCGAACAGGAUUAGAUACCCUAGUAGUCC
rnacentral:rRNA from 1 species